GACGAACGCUGGCGGCGUGCUUAACACAUGCAAGUCGAGCGGAGCGGCGAACGGGUGAGUAACGCGUGAGUAACCGCCCCCCUCCCUGGGAUAACAGUUGGAAACGGCUGCUAAUACCGGAUAGUGGGGGAUGACUGGCGUCAUAUCCGCUUGUUGGUGGGGUAGUGGCCUACCAAGGCGAAGACGGUUAGCCGGCCUGGGAGGGCGACCGGCCCCAGUGGGCUGAGAUAGUGGCCAAAGGCCUACUGGAGGAAGCGGUGGGGAAUAUUGCGCAAGACGGGACGCCCUGAAGCACGGUCGCCGCGUGCGGGAUGUCGGCCUUCGGGGUGGAAACCGCUUUUAGCCAUGAGGCGGUAGUGGCAGAAGAAGCACCGGCUAACUACGUGCCAGCAGCCGCGGUAAUAC
rnacentral:rRNA from 1 species